UACGUAGGGUCCGAGCGUUGUCCGGAAUUACUGGGCGUAAAGAGCUCGUAGGUGGUUUGUCGCGUUGUUCGUGAAAACUCACAGCUCAACUGUGGGCGUGCGGGCGAUACGGGCAGACUGGAGUACUGCAGGGGAGACUGGAAUUCCUGGUGUAGCGGUGGAAUGCGCAGAUAUCAGGAGGAACACCGGUGGCGAAGGCGGUUCUCUGGGCCUUACCUGACGCUGAGGAGCGAAAGCAUGGGGAGCAGACAGG
rnacentral:rRNA from 1 species